rnacentral:rRNA from 1 species
UACGUAGGUGACAAGCGUUGUCCGGAUUUACUGGGCGUAAAGAGCGCGCAGGCGGUCGAUCAAGUCGAGUGUGAAAGCCCCCCGGCUCAACUGGGGAGGGUCAUUCGAAACUGGUCGACUCGAAGGCAGGAGAGGGUAGUGGAAUUCCCGGUGUAGUGGUGAAAUGCGUAGAUAUCGGGAGGAACACCAGUGGCGAAGGCGACUACCUGGCCUGUUCUUGACGCUGAGGCGCGAAAGCUAGGGGAGCAAACGGG